UACGUAGGGUCCGAGCGUUGUCCGGAAUUAUUGGGCGUAAAGGGCUCGUAGGCGGUUUGUCACGUCGGGAGUGAAAACUCAGGGCUCAACCCUGAGCGUGCUUCCGAUACGGGCAGACUAGAGGUAUGCAGGGGAGAACGGAAUUCCUGGUGUAGCGGUGGAAUGCGCAGAUAUCAGGAGGAACACCGGUGGCGAAGGCGGUCUCUGGGCAUUACCUGACGCUGGAGGAGCGAAAGCAUGGGGAGCGAACAGG
rnacentral:rRNA from 1 species